UACGUAGGGUGCAAGCGUUGUCCGGAAUUAUUGGGCGUAAAGAGCUCGUAGGCGGUUUGUUGCGUCGGCUGUGAAAUCCCGAGGCUCAACCUCGGGUCUGCAGUCGAUACGAGCAAACUAGAGUGUUGCAGGGGAGACUGGGAAUUCCUGGUGUAGCGGUGAAAUGCGCAGAUAUCAGGAGGAACACCGGUGGGCGAAGGCGGG
rnacentral:rRNA from 1 species